rnacentral:misc_RNA from 1 species
GAUUGAGCUUGCUCUUCUCGGGCACGACCCUUGGUUCCUGUGUUGCCUUCCCGUCGAAUGGAAAAUCUCGCGAGAUAGCCCCGCCCCUUUCCCCCUUGUGGCUUUGCGGCCGCAAAGUGGACCUCGAAAGCAGUGCCUGUGUCCCGGGCGUAUCCUCUGACUGUUGUCGUGGCUGUCUCGGUCCACAGGACGACUGCUCGUGCUCUCGGAUGUGGAAAAUUAAGCGGACAUGGGGGGUCUCGGCCCCUGGUUGCUCCCAAUCAAGUCCCUCGAUAGGAAUGACUUUCGAGAUACCUCAUUGAUCGCAGGCCGUCUAGGCCCGUGGCAUCAAUGCGGGUCCGAAGUCGAGAAAGGAUGCUACCUGGU